CCUACGGGAGGCAGCAGUAGGGAAUAUUGCUCAAUGGGGGAAACCCUGAAGCAGCAACGCCGCGUGGAGGAUAAAGGUUUUCGGAUUGUAAACUCCUUUUGUUAGAGAAGAUAAUGACGGUAUCUAACGAAUAAGCACCGGCUAACUCCGUGCCAGCAGCCGCGGUAAUACGGAGGGUGCAAGCGUUACUCGGAAUCACUGGGCGUAAGGAGCGCGUAGGCGGGAGAGCAAGUCAGAUGUGAAAUCCUAUGGCUUAACCAUAGAACUGCAUUUGAAACUGUUAUUCUAGAGUAUGGGAGAGGUAGGUGGAAUGCUUGGUGUAGGGGUAAAAUCCGUAGAGAUCAAGAGGAAUACUCAUUGCGAAGGCGACCUGCUAGAACAUAACUGACGCUGAUGCGCGAAAGCGUGGGGAGCAAACAGGAUUAGAUACCCUUGUAGUC
rnacentral:rRNA from 1 species